UACGUAGGGACCAAGCGUUGUUCGGAUUUACUGGGCGUAAAGGGCGCGUAGGCGGCGUGACAAGUCACUUGUGAAAUCUCCGGGCUUAACUCGGAAAGGUCAACUGAUACUGUGCGGCUAGAGUGCGGAAGGGGGCAACUGGAAUUCUUGGUGUAGCGGUGAAAUGCGUAGAUAUCAAGAGGAACACCUGAGGUGAAGACGGGUUGCUGGGCCGACACUGACGCUGAGUGCGCGAAAGCCAGGGGAGCAAACGGGG
rnacentral:rRNA from 1 species